AACCAUAGAAACCUGCGGAGUACCUGCGGAGGGAUCAUUACAGAGUUCGUGCCCUCGCGGGUAGAUCUCCCACCCUUGUGUAUUUUCUACAUCUUGUUGCUUUGGCAGGCCGUUGGUUCGCCAACCACCGGCUCGCGGGCUGGUGCGUGCCUGCCAGAGGACCUCUCAAACUCGGUUUGUUAGUGUCGUCUGAGUACCAUAACAAUCGUUAAAACUUUCAACAAUGGAUCUCAGAUCGGA
rnacentral:misc_RNA from 1 species